GGGCCAGCACCUCAACGCCGCCACCCGCCGCCCGCUCGGCCGUCGUGCGCAGUGUGCACGCCCCUCUUCGCUUUGCGCCCGAGUCCGUGCGCGGCAGCGGCACCAACCGACGAGACCCGGGCAAGAGAGUGCGAGCCGCGUCUCGUGUUUGGCGCACACGCGCACGCACUUCACCGCAUCGCAGCCAAGCACGCGGAGAAGAGUACCUGAAGGAGAGAGAUGAAACUGAGUAAGGAACAGAAAGGAAAAAUGGGGAGAAGAGACAAGAUGACCCGAAUUCUGAGGCAACUUCCCGAAAGUCACCCUGUACUUUUCAACAAGGCGAAACUGCACCGUGUCGCGCUGGGAUCCCGGAAGAAAACCGGCUUGCUUCGCUCGAGAACACCGGAGAGAAAGACAACCUCAGCGAAGAGGAGAAGAAGGAGGAGAGGCGAAGGUGACUCUCGCACUAAGCCUGGUCAAGAAACGUGGACACCAGCAGCGUCGCACGAACUUCCGCCACGCAUUCGAGUGCCUCGUGGUUCCUAGCGCAGCGAACAACUGCGCAGUGACUCCUCCCGUUUCAUCAAAGUGCCCUUCCACUGGACAGGAAAACUUGUGCCGCUGGCGUCACGCGUCGGGCGUAGGCCAAGGUGACACGGCGACACGUCGUGCAAGCCUGUCACCUCCCGCGCCCCACUCGGUUCGAACAGAGCUCACGCCGCUGCUGUGCGGGAAAGACGAACUGCUCGUAAUACGCGCGCAGGCCGCCGGUGCCGAUGCGGGCGGGCGCGCAGCAGAAAGGCAUCGAUCGAAGUCCGACGGAGGACCCCCCCAGCGCCCGGCGCGCCGUUGCCCCCUCCGAGAAAGGGUCUCCUUGCCCGGCCAGCCAGCGAGCGAGAACGUCGUCUUCGUCGGCGGCGGCAGUGAAGCAACAGGCGUUCGACGCUCCCCUCCGCUUCGCGAGCCUGCAGCAACAGGCGAAACUUCGCGGGUCUUCUUGUUGAUUACUCACCCGGAAGGCAACCGGAAGUUUCAACGGCCAGCGCGGCGCAGGAAAUCUGCGUAAGGUUCCUGAACGGACACACUCGCCCUGUGAUGUUGUCCGCAAGAACCAAGGAAAUCAUGAAAGCCGACUGCCCUGCCGUCGACUCUCAGCCCAUGGGCGACUCUUCGGAGAGGACCCUGGCUCGAUCUCGCCGGACAAGCGGUUUUCACGGCGCCUCUGGUGACCCAGGACUGCCAGCAGCUCGCGUCCGUUGGAAAGUUCAAGGACUUAAGCUCUCAAGACAUUCCGUGCUCGCGUUCGUCCAAGCGUGUUGCAAAUCGUGUGGUAUAAACAACAGUUAACUAGCGGAUAUCGCCACGAAGGCUACAGAUCGUAACCACAAAGGAAGGACAACGUUCGCCUUCAAGACGGCACGCCGGUUCGACGCGUUAAUAAAACAUCGUUCAUGCUUUUCAUUUCUA